GAGAAAAAGCAGCGUUGUUCCACGGUUAAGGUCCUGCUUUGCCUCAGUGUCAGCCAGCAGAAAUGUAAAUCACUGCAGCAAAAUAAAGGGUAAAAAGAGGAACAAAUUCAAAAUGUAAUAAAGUUAGGGAAGGCUGAAAGCCGGCAGCGGGUCUGAUAGGAAUGGGAAAGAAAUGGUUUGAAGAUCUAUGGGCAAUUAUCCUGAAAAAUAUAUACAUCUGGAGGAAGGAAAUCUGUUUGCUGCCGGACUCUGAGCUGUGAAAUGAUGCUGAAAUGAUGCCAACAAGCUACAUCCCGGCCCAUUAGCGAUGUGAUGGAGUUUCCUGGCAUCUUGACGUGAAAAAUCAUCUUUUGUGGUGCUGCUGAGAGAUAUCAGAAGUUGAACAUCGGAACAGCUCUGGAGGAAGAAGAGUGCAACCUUCUCACCCACCACCUCAGCGUCUUCCAUGGGAAGAAAAUAAGAGGUACCGAGAGGCUCUUUAUUCUAAUAUGUGAAAACAUAGUGGGAAGCAAUGGCUGGAAGAUGGAGAGAGAGGAGCUGGAAAUGUGGCUCAGACAACCUACGGCGAAGAUGAUUAUCUAUUAGGAUAAAUUACCUGGGAAGCAAAGCAGCCUUUAUCUUCUGACAGAGGCACACGAUGCCCUUCUGGAGAGGGCACGAACAGAAGCAAGUUAUUGUGUUAUUAAAAACUCUGUAAAAAUCUCUGGCUUGUUUUAUGCACGACGUUGUGUUUAAUGCGUGAUGUCACCCAACUCAUCCCCAGUGCUGGAGAGAAAUGGAAGGGCUCUUCCAGUGGUGCAAGUAGGAUG
ensembl:lncRNA